UACGGGGGGGGGCAAGCGUUGUUCGGAAUUACUGGGCGUAAAGGGCUCGUAGGUGGCCAACUAAGUCAGACGUGAAAUCCCUCAGCUUAACUGGGGAACUGCGUCUGAUACUGGAUGGCUUGAGUUUGGGAGAGGGAUGCGGAAUUCCCGGUGUAGCGGUGAAAUGCGCAGAUAUCGGGAGGAACACCAGUAGCGAAGGCGGCACUCUGGGCCGGUACUGACGCUGAGGAGCGAAAGCGUGGGGAGCAAACAGG
rnacentral:rRNA from 1 species